rnacentral:rRNA from 1 species
GCAUAAUCAUUUGCCGUUUAAUUGAUGGCUGGAAUGAAUGAAUAUACGUAAGCUCAACUGUCUCCUUUUUACCUAUAAAAAUUGACCCCCAAGUGAAGAGACUUGGAUUGACCAAAAAGACGAAAAGACCCUAUAGAGCUUCACCUGACCUUCACUCAUCCAAGAGAAGGUUUAGUUGGGGCAACUAGAGAGUUCCUAAAACCUCUCUUCCAAAAAACCUAUUUAGAUCCGUUACACGACCAGCAGAGAAAGCUACCUUAGGGAUAACAGGCUAAUCCUCUUUGAGAGACCAUAUUGACAAGAGGGG